ACGAACGCUGGCGGCGUGCCUAACACAUGCAAGUCGAGCGGGGACAUACGACGGAGUCAAAGUUUCGGAUGGAGACGAAGAUGUAUGUUCUAGCGGCGGACGGGUGAGUAACGCGUGAGCAACCUGUCCCUUACAGGGGAUAACACAGCGAAAGUUGUACUAAUACCGCAUGAGACCACGGGAGGACAUCCUCCAGGGGUCAAAGGAGCAAUCCGGUAAGGGGUGGGCUCGCGUCCGAUUAGAUAGUUGGUGAGGUAACGGCCCACCAAGUCGACGAUCGGUAGCCGACCUGAGAGGGUGAUCGGCCACAUUGGGACUGAGACACGGCCCAAACUCCUACGGGAGGCAGCAGUGGGGAAUAUUGGGCAAGUUACGGGGGGAAACCCUGACCCAGCAACGCCGCGUGAGGGAAGAAGGUUUUCGGAUCGUAAACCUCUGUCCUUGGUGAAGAGGAAGAGACGGUAGCCAAGGAGGAAGCCCCGGCUAACUACGUGCCAGCCGCCGC
rnacentral:rRNA from 1 species